GGUUUUACGAGGCGCGCAGAAGGAAGUCGGCAGGCGAGACUGCAGAGGGAGUAGUGCGAUCCUGCGCGCGGGGGAACUAGCUGGAGGGCAAGGCGGGAACACCAUCUAUUGUUGGGGUGAUCGGACCUAACACCAGGUUGUGGGGACAACGAAGUCCGGAAGAGUGAAAGGAAUGAGAAAAGACAGUUUGAGAGAGAAAGUGGGCCCAGGGGGCCAAUGUGAGUAUGGAGGCUGUGAAGGCCCGGAGCCCUGGAAGCCCAGACUAUUUACUGAUGGUGUCUCGCUACAUUGCAUGACCUGAAGUGCAGUGGCUAUUCAUAGGUGCAAUUGUAGUGUUCUAUAGCCUUGAACUCCUGAGCUCAAGAAAUCCUCCUGCCUCAGCCUCCUGAGUAUCUAGGACUACAGGAGUGAGUGAGAGAUGAGGACAUAACAUUCAGUCAUGGCGCUACAAAAGCUGUUUCCUAAAGGUUUUAAAUUUUCAGGUCCUUGUAAGAUUUCCUUUGAAAGGAAAGGUCUGCUGGAAGAUGGACAAAUCUGCAGUAUUAGACACGUUUAUUGAUGAAGCUUUCCCUGACCACCCUAUUUAAAAAGCACCCACCUGUCCUGGUCCAGCACUCCUUAUCUGCUUUCCCUGCUUUGUUUUUCUCAACAAAGCUUAUCAACAUUCAAUUUACUAUAUAAUUUACUUCCUUAUUUUGUGUAUGGGUCAGGGUUAGAGCAGGAAACAGUACCCUCGAACUGGAUGACUUGGGACAGUGUAAUAAAAGAGUGGUUAACAAAGGUGUGGGCAAGGUUUAGGGAAGCUUCAGAGGGCUGCUGUAAUGUGAUGGGACCAGCAACCAUGGUGGUGGUGCUGGUGGGAGCCAUUGCCACCCCAAGGCCUAUAGGGUCAAAGUGAGAGAACAGUUACCAGGACAGAGAGAGGCACCUAGAAAGGAUAGCAAUGUGGAGCGGGCUGCCUCUGGGAGAAGGAUGCAGCCAUCCCUUGAUGAGUCAACUCAACUUGUCAACUCCUCUUGUUCUCUGAUCUCUUGCAAGUUCCUCCCAUUGGCUAAAUCUACCUGGAAGCAGAAGAGAAAGUGAGCUUAUGGAUGCAGUCUAUACAGAUGGGCCUCGCAGGGCACAGAUCAGAGUGGAGAGUGGACCAGGAGGUAGAAACAGACGAUGUCUUCUAUAUUUCAUUUGUCUUUUUCCUCCCACUAAAACAUAAGUUCUAUGAAGGAUGGGAUUUUUUUUUUUAGAUGGGGUCUCGCUCUUGUUGCCCAGGCUAGAGUGUGGUGGCACAGUCAUAGUUCACUGCACCCUCAAACUCCUGGGCUCAAACAAUCCUCCCACCUCGGCUUCCCAAAGCACUGGGAUUACAGGUUAUCUGCUUCCAUCUCUUGCAUACCUUGUGCUUGGAUGAGUGCCUGGCUCAGAGUUGGCGCUCGGUAAAUAGUUCUUCAGUAAAGGAAUAUCAGUUGUUUUCAUGUGAGUUUCAAAACUCAACUACAGUAGUGUAGUCACCACAGUCUAUUUAUAUCACCACAGGAGACAUUUUUUAAAUUUGUUCUGUCUCCCUGAUUUAUAUGAGUAAUGGUUAACACUCUCUUCUCUCUCUCUUUCUCUCUCUCUCUCUCUAUAUAUAUAUAUACACACAUAUAUAUACUUAUAUAUGUGUGUAUAUAGUUUGUGUGUGUGCUUGUAGCCACCAAAUUAGUGUAUAUAAAAUUAUUAUAUUAUUAUAUUAUUAGUUCUUUUGAAAUGGUCUUCAGCUAGAUUUUGAGUAACCAUAUUUAGAAGAAAAACCUCCUACACAGGUAUUUUCUGUUUAUUAACAUAAUUCAAGUCAUUAAAUCAUCUUUAUUUCACAUGUCUCUCAUGCUGCCAAGGACAGCAUUAUCUUCUUAAGUCCUAUGCCUUUCAAUACAGAAAUAAUCAUAGCAUAAAAACAUCAAGUACAACAACAUUUAUCCUAUUAAACUCUUAAAGAUUUAUCAC